AGAGUUUGAUCCUGGCUCAGGAUGAACGCUGGCGGCGUGCCUAACACAUGCAAGUCGAACGGGCGAUAUAGCAAUAUAUUGUUAGUGGCGAACGGGUGAGGAAUAUAUAGAUAAUCUACCCUUUAGACUGGGAUAAGCCUCCGAAAGGGGGUCUAAUACCGGAUACGCUCUUGAGAUCGCAUGAUUUUGAGAGGAAAGUUUUUUCGCUAAAGGAAGAGUUUAUAUCUGAUUAGCUAGUUGGUGGGGUAAUGGCCUACCAAGGCGACGAUCAGUAGCUGGUCUGAGAGGAUGGUCAGCCACACUGGGACUGAGACACGGCCCAGACUCCUACGGGAGGCAGCAGUGGGGAAUAUUGCGCAAUGGGCGAAAGCCUGACGCAGCGACGCCGCGUGAGCGAUGAAGUCUUUCGGGAUGUAAAGCUCUGUCGAGUGGGACGAUAAUGACGGUACCACUGGAGGAAGCCCCGGCUAACUACGUGCCAGCAGCCGCGGUAAUACGUAGGGGGCGAGCGUUAUCCGGAUUUAUUGGGCAUAAAGAGCGUGUAGGUUGUAUCUUAAGUCAGACGUUAAAUCCCCCGGCUCAACCGGGGUUCGCAUUUGAUACUGAGAUACUAGAGAUUGGGAGAGGAAAGCGGAACUCACGGUGUAGCGGUGAAAUGCGUAGAUAUCGUGAGGAACACCAGUUGCGAAGGCGGCUUUCUGGACCAAAUCUGACACUCAAGCGCGAAAGCGUGGGGAGCAAACGGGAUUAGAUACCCCGGUAGUCCACGCUGUAAACGGUGUUCACUAGGUGUGGGAGGUAUCGACCCCUUCCGUGCCACAGAUAAUUCGUUAAGUGAACCGCCUGGGAAGUACGA
rnacentral:rRNA from 1 species